rnacentral:rRNA from 1 species
CCUCCGGCUUAUUGAUAUGCUUAAGUUCA